UACGUAGGGUGCAAGCGUUGUCCGGAAUUAUUGGGCGUAAAGAGCUCGUAGGCGGUUCGUCGCGUCGGCUGUGAAAACCCGGAGCUCAACUCCGGGCCUGCAGUCGAUACGGGCGGACUCGAGUUCGGCAGGGGAGACUGGAAUUCCUGGUGUAGCGGUGAAAUGCGCAGAUAUCAGGAGGAACACCGGUGGCGAAGGCGGGUCUCUGGGCCGAUACUGACGCUGAGGAGCGAAAGCGUGGGGAGCGAACAGG
rnacentral:rRNA from 1 species